rnacentral:rRNA from 1 species
CGAGCGUUGUCCGGAUUUAUUGGGCGUAAAGAGCUCGUAGGCGGCUCAGCAAGUCGGCCGUGAAAGCCUGAGGCUCAACCUCAGGACGCCGGUCGAAACUGCUGUGGCUAGGGUCCGGUAGAGGAGAGUGGAAUUCCCGGUGUAGCGGUGAAAUGCGCAGAUAUCGGGAGGAACACCAGUAGCGAAGGCGGCUCUCUGGGCCGGCACCGACGCUGAGGAGCGAAAGCUAGGGGAGCAAACAGGAUUAGAUACCCUGGUAGUCCUAGCCGUAAACGUUGGGCACUAGGUGUGGCGGAUUCAUUGACAUCUGCCGUGCCGAAGCUAACGCAUUAAGUGCCCCGCCUGGGGAGUACGGUCGCAAGGCUAAAACUCAAAGGAAUUGACGGGAGCCCGCACAAGCGGCGGAGCAUGCGGCUUAAUUCGAUGGUACCCGAAGAACCUUACCUGGACUUGACAUAAUGGGAAAAACUGUAGAGAUACAGUGUGCGUAAGCGUCCAUUACAGGUGGUGCAUGGCUGUCGUCAGCUCGUGUCGUGAGAUGUUGGGUUAAGUCCCGCAACGAGCGCAACCCCUGUCCUUUGUUGCCAGCGGAUUAUGCCGGGGACUCAUGGGAGACUGCCGGGGACAACUCGGAGGAAGGCGGGGACGACGUCAAGUCAUCAUGCCCCUUAUGUCCAGGGCCGCACGCAUGCUACAAUGGCAGGUACAACGGGCAGCGAUCCCGCGAGGGUCAGCGAAUCCCCAAAGCCUGUCUCAGUUCGGAUCGGAGUCUGCAACUCGACUCCGUGAAGCCGGAGCCGCUAGUAAUCGCGAAUCAGCUAAGUCGCGUGAAUACGUUCUCGGGCUUUG